AAGCGUUUUACAUGUCUGCUCUAUGGGGACAAGGAAAGACUAUCUAUAGAGAUACUGUGGGGUAGAAAUGGGGCUAGUAGAAGGAACAGACACGCAAACCUUCAUGCGAACGGCAGCUCAUUUUUUUUGUGCGGUGGCGGGUCGUAGAUUCGUUGGGAGGGGUAGGAGGGUUUAAAGAAGACUAAACUACAUAACCAAAUAAGCAAAGGAUACUUACACAGACUUGAGGACUUUCCUACUAUUUAAACAAAUUGGGACGCCGUUUGAAAAAUCCUCAAAUUCUCAUAUCGAGUACUUACUGGAAAGCAACUGGGGGACAUUCAUCGUAGAUUCCUCAUUGGGGUUAUAGUGGGCUACAAAUUAUCAUCAUUUGGCUUCUAUGCCAUUAUAUUUUCUUCUGUUCUAAAACUUAUUCACUUGUAUUAGAUAUCUGUUAAUAAUUUUCUUAAAUAAAGAGGUUACAGAAAUAAAGAUGUGUACAUUUUAUAAUGUUUAUUUAAACCUUAAUACCUUUUUAUUUUUAUUGAGAAUAGACACAUUCUCAAACCAGAAAUGAAUAAUAAUAACAAAAUACAUGAUUUUACAAUUUUUAACCUUAUUUUUAGCAGUGUACCAAAACAAAAAUUUGACAUGGCUGUCAAAUGUCACUGCCAUCUAAUAUUUACUUUACAUAAUAUAUUUUCCAUGUUGAAAACAAACAUUUUUAAUUAUGUAAAACCUUUACCAAUAAUAUCCACUUGUGAAUUAUUUAAAAUAAACAUUAUCAUACCUUGUUAAAACAAAAAUCCAUGUCACAACACUUGGAACUUCAAAAUUUUCCAUUCAGACGGGGCUGGGAGGGGAAGAUAUUCAAAUCAUUACAAAACUGGAUAAAAUCGAUACCAAAUAAUAUCAUCUGGGCAUUUCUUACUGGAACAUGAACAAAUCAAAA
rnacentral:lncRNA from 1 species